rnacentral:rRNA from 1 species
ACGCUCGACACCUACGGGAGGAGCAGUGAGGAAUAUUGGUCAAUGGGCGCAGGCCUGAACCAGCCAAGUAGCGUGAAGGAUGACUGCCCUAUGGGUUGUAAACUUCUUUUAUAUGGGAAUAAAGUUUUCCACGUGUGGAAUUUUGUAUGUACCAUAUGAAUAAGGAUCGGCUAACUCCGUGCCAGCAGCCCCGGUAAUCUGAGCGGGCUGGCAAGGC